UGUUUCCAAAUGGCUGGUUGCUUGAGAGAAUUUCUGUUCUUAUUACGCCGUGGAUAUUGUGUAAUUGAAUGGCAAGAUUUCCCCAAACUCACUUGAUGGAGGGUUACAGCUCAAAUUCAAACCAAGACACCAGAUAUAAAAAGCCCCGCCAUAGAUGUAAGAAGAGUAACUUCAGCAGAGCCAUAAUCAUCACUUAUUCUAAUCACUCAUCACUUAUUGCAGUCACAAGAAAGAAGCGCUCCAGCAGCAAUGUGAAGUUGGCAGUGCACCUCUACAUUUCAACAUGGCCAGAAUGUCAAGCUGUUUAAUGAAGACAAUAUCUUCAGAGACUUGCUUUAAUGUAAAAAGGGAAA